GACGAACGCUGGCGGCGUGCUUAACACAUGCAAGUCGAACGGGAUUUAGUAGACAGAAACCUCGGUGGAAGAUUACUAAUGAGAGUGGCGAACGGGUGAGUAACGCGUGAGCAACCUGCCUAUGACAGUGGGAUAGCCUCGGGAAACCGGGAUUAAUACCGCAUAAAAUCGUAGAAACACAUGUUUCAACGGUCAAAGAUUUAUCGGUCAUAGAUGGGCUCGCGUCUGAUUAGCUAGUUGGUGAGAUAACAGCCCACCAAGGCGACGAUCAGUAGCCGGUCUGAGAGGAUGAACGGCCACAUUGGAACUGAGACACGGUCCAAACUCCUACGGGAGGCAGCAGUGGGGAAUAUUGCACAAUGGGGGAAACCCUGAUGCAGCGACGCCGCGUGAACGAAGAAGGUAUUCGUAUCGUAAAGUUCUGUCCUAUGGGAAGAUAAUGACAGUACCAUAGAAGAAAGCUCCGGCUAAAUACGUGCCAGCAGCCACGGUAAUACGUAUGGAGCGAGCGUUGUCCGGAAUUAUUGGGCGUAAAGGGUACGCAGGCGGUUUAAUAAGUCGAAUGUUAAAGAUCGGGGCUCAACCCCGUAAAGCAUUGGAAACUGAUAAACUUGAGUAGUGGAGAGGAAAGUGGAAUUCCUAGUGUAGUGGUGAAAUACGUAGAUAUUAGGAGGAAUACCAGUAGCGAAGGCGACUUUCUGGACACAAACUGACGCUGAGGUACGAAAGCGUGGGGAGCAAACAGG
rnacentral:rRNA from 1 species